rnacentral:rRNA from 1 species
UACGUAGGGGGCAAGCGUUGUCCGGAAUUAUUGGGCGUAAAGAGCGUGUAGGCGGCCAGAUAAGUCCGCUGUGAAAUCUCGAGGCUCAACUUCGAGCUGUCGGUGGAAACUAUCUGGCUAGAGUCCGGAAGAGGAGAAUGGAAUUCCUGGUGUAGCGGUGAAAUGCGCAGAUAUCAGGAAGAACACCCGUGGCGAAGGCGGUUCUCUGGGACGGUACUGACGCUGAGACGCGAAAGCGUGGGGAGCGACCAGG